rnacentral:rRNA from 1 species
GACGAACGCUGGCGGCGUGCUUAACACAUGCAAGUCGAACGGUAAGGCCCUUCGGGGUACACGAGUGGCGAACGGGUGAGUAACACGUGGGUGAUCUGCCCUGCACUUCGGGAUAAGCCUGGGAAACUGGGUCUAAUACCGGAUAGGACCACUGCCUGCAUGGGUGGUGGUGGAAAGCUUUUGCGGUGUGGGAUGGGCCCGCGGCCUAUCAGCUUGUUGGUGGGGUGAUGGCCUACCAAGGCGACGACGGGUAGCCGGCCUGAGAGGGUGACCGGCCACACUGGGACGGAGAUGCGGCCCAGACUCCUACGGGAGGCAGCAGUGGGGAAGAUUGCACAAUGGGCGCAAGCCUGAUGCAGCGACGCCGCGUGAGGGAUGACGGCCUUCGGGUUGUAAACCUCUUUCAGCACCGACGAAGCGCAAGUGACGGUAGGUGCAGAAGAAGGACCGGCCAGCUACGUGCCAGCCGCCGCUGUAACAC